rnacentral:lncRNA from 1 species
AGACAUCGCUGCGGCCGGGAUAGGGCGCCGCCGUUCUGGCCGGCUUUCUCGGUGCCCUGGAGGACCUGGCCGGCUCCGCGGGAAGCUGUACUCAGAGCGCGCGGCCGCCCUCUGGCAGGGAGGAGUUCGUUGCACUUUUGAGGGUUCUUCACGAAGACAUCCAAUACAUAGAAAACAAGUAACAGCAACAGUAACGAAUUUUUAAAUAUUAAAAUUGCUGGGGAACACGACGGAUCCUGCAGCUGCUCGGCUGUCCCGGUCGUCAGUGACGCUAGGGCUCCGCACCGUACCCUGCAUACCGUAGGUGCUCACGAAACGUUCGUGAGUUCCCUGCUCUGAGGAAACAAGCUUAAAAACUCAGAAUCUAAGGUGUGAGUCUCCGCAAACCUGCUUGUUGGGCAGCGUCCCCCGCCCGGGCUAGCCCUGCACGCCCCACCCCGGAGCCACGCUUCUCCAGCCGGGACCCCUGCCUCCUUCCAGGCUAUUCUCGGAACCGCAGCCAGAGGGAAUUUUUUUUUCCUUUCCUGAAACGUAGAGCAGAUCUGGUUACUCUUCUGCACAACGCCCUAAAAUCUAGGGCCCUUCCCAUCCCUCAGAAUUUACAUCUAAUUCUCAGCUCCCCUCCGGCUUGCUGUAGCCAUCCUGGCUUUUGUUUAGCACAGCACUUACUGUUAGUGACAUUAUAUUGUAUAUUAUUAACAUAUUUGUGUUUUACAUCCCUCACUAGACCCCCAGGAAAGAGGCUUUGAUGUGUUGCCUGCUGCAAGGCUGGCUGCAUAAUUUGUGGAGCUCAGAGAAAAGUGCGGAGCUUCCUUGUUCAAAAAACAGAAAGAAAGUGCCUCUGAGGUCAUAAAAUAUAAAACUUUCUCUUUCCUCUCAGUUUCUCUCUUUUCAUAGUGUUUUUAUGUGUUAUUUAAUAUCAUUCCAAGAAAAAUUUAGAUUUAAAUUGUUAGCAUGAAGUUCACCAUCCAUCUUUACGUUGUGCAAUGCCAGUUUUAAAUACUAAUAUAAGUGCACUGAUCUCAUAUGUGGAAUCACAGAAAUUAUGCAAUUUGUACUUCAUAGCUUAUACAUGCAUAUAGAUUUUGUUUUUACCAGAACCACGCUGGUAAAAACAGAUGCUGCACAAAGUGAACUUGCCCGUUUUCAUCGCACUUUACGUGCACGAAUUCUACCUCUACUCUCGACCUGGGACUCACCGAUGCGUAAGGAAGGACUGAAAAGCAAAAGAACUAUGGACUGGCCUUUUGGCAUGAUCAGGUGUCUAAUAUAAAGAAGUGCAUGAAUAAGAAAAUAUAUGAUAUGAGUGAUGGUUAAUACUGACUGUCAACUUGAUUGGAUUGAAGGAUGCAAAGUAUUGAUCCUGGGUGUGUCUGUGAGGGUGUUGCCAAAGGAGAUUAACAUUUGAGUCAGUGGGCUGGGAAAGUUCGACCCACUGUUAAUCUAGAUGGACACCAUCUAAUCAGAUGCCAGUGCAGCUAGAAAUGUAAAGCAGACAGAAAAAUGCGAAAAGAGAGACUGGCCUAGCCUGCCAGCCUACAUCUUUCUCCCACGCUGGAUGCUUCCUGCCCUCGAACAUCAGACUCCAAGUUCUUCAGUUUGGGACUUGGACUGGCUCUCCUUGUUCCUCAGCUUGAAGACUGCCCAUUGUGGGACUUGUGAUCAUGUGCCAUGAUAAAUAAGCCAGUUUGAGUCACUUGGUCUAAUAUCGAGACCACGAACAUAUUGAUCACAGAAUGUGUUAGGUAAGCAUGUUGUUGACUGAAGUGUAAGUAAGGUGCUCACCUUAAAUGCAUGUGCCAACAUCAGCAUCUUCAGAAGAGUCUCUUUCCCUUUGGGACAUCGAGGUGACUGACAGUUAAACAAGCCGUAUUUGGAGUAGGUGUACAAUCAGCCUCCUUCCAGUUCUCCUUGGCACUUUCCAGUUCACAAAGGACACUUCACUCCUUUUUGGUUUUUUUGAGACAGGGUCUCACUCUGUCACCCAGGCUAGAGUACGGUGGUGAGAUCACCCCUCACUGCAACCUCCGUCUCCUGGGCUCAAGUGAUCCUCCCACCUCAGCCUCCCAAGUAGCUGGUACCACAGGUGCAUGCCACCACACCUGGCUGAUUUUUGUAUUUUGUGUAGAAGGGGGUAUUGCCCUAUCGCCUAGGCUGGAAGGCUGUUAAGAGGAGAACUGAGCAAUGAGGAUCCCAUCCUGGACUUCGCAGACUUGCUGUGCUUUUGAAUGCUUCUCUCACGGUCAGAGCCUGCACUGGAAAAGAUGGCAUUUGGGACAACACACCUGGCUGCUGCCCCAGGAAGAAAGUAGUGAACACUGGAGGACUGUCAGCCCUGUCAGUUUCUGGAAAUGUGCCCUGAGUUUAAGUUCUGGUUUCAGAUUAUGAGGAGCAAAAUUACUGAGUAGGCCUCCUCCUAGAACAGGAAGCUCUUCCCGCUGUGGGCCAGUGGCUCUGACAUAUCACAGAGCCUGCUCUGAUGAAGGCAGCAGGAAUGAUUUCAAAACAAGCAAAACCAAAGAAAACUGUUUGACAAUGGAAGUAAUAGAGGCUCAUUUUAGAAAACAUAGACAUAAAGAAAAAAAGAAGAAUCUUCCAUAACCCACAGAUUAUAACUACUUACAUACCUUCCAGGCUUUAUUUCUCUUUUUUAAAAAACAAAUGUUAAAGUGGAAUUUACCUAUAAAAAAGAUACAGGUCCUAAGAGCACAGCUUGGCUUGAUCAAUUUUCUCAAGUUGAAUGCACCUGUGCAAUCAGUGCCAGGCUGAACACACAGCCUCAGCAGCGCCUGGAAGCUUUUCCAAGCCUCCUUAUUGUCAUCCCUCCCUCCCCAGGGGUAGCUGCGAUCACUGUAGCUUUGGUCUGAACUAUAUAUAAAUGCAAUCAUGCCACGUUAUGUUUCUGAGACUCACCCACACCCUGGCAAGCCAUUGCAGUUUGUUUAUUCUCAAUGUUCUACAAGCAGCAGUCCCCAAGCUUUUUGGCACCGGGGACCAGUCUCAUGGAGGACGAUUUUUCCGCAGACCAGAAACUAUAAACAUUGAAAGGAAUGCUGGGGCCUCCAAAAUCUGCGAUUACAUUUCUCGUAAAUGGCAACUCAUUGUCAUCCUGCAGACAUGGAUUAAACCACAGGAUGGGGUCUGAACCGGGAACACUUGCAGGUUAACAGCAACAACAUCCACUCCAACAGAAUCACCCCCGUCACAGUGAGCAAUGAGCAAAAACAUGGCUCAGAAACAGUUUCCCCAGAUGUUCAAUAAAGGACAUUUAAAUGAGACAUUUACCAUCUGGUUAAUAACAUAGCAUUGAGUGGGACUUGGUAACAAUAUCCCAAUACGUAAGCUUUUAAAAUCAGUUCUUUUCCCUGAGCAUAAAACUGCUUCUCCAUCUGCCCUAUGAAAACAGGCGAUAAAUAAAUGUUUGUUCAACCUCA